GACGAACGCUGGCGGCGUGCUUAACACAUGCAAGUCGAACGGAAAGGCCCUGCUUUUGUGGGGUGCUCGAGUGGCGAACGGGUGAGUAACACGUGAGUAACCUGCCCUUGACUUUGGGAUAACUUCAGGAAACUGGGGCUGAUACCGGAUAGGAGCUCCUGCUGCAUGGGGGGGGUUGGAAAGUUUCGGCGGUUGGGGAUGGACUCGCGGCUUAUCAGCUUGUUGGUGGGGUAGUGGCUUACCAAGGCUUUGACGGGUAGCCGGCCUGAGAGGGUGACCGGCCACAUUGGGACUGAGAUACGGCCCAGACUCCUACGGGAGGCAGCAGUGGGGAAUAUUGCACAAUGGGCGGAAGCCUGAUGCAGCAACGCCGCGUGCGGGAUGACGGCCUUCGGGUUGUAAACCGCUUUCGCCUGUGACGAAGCGUGAGUGACGGUAAUGGGUAAAGAAGCACCGGCUAACUACGUG
rnacentral:rRNA from 1 species